rnacentral:lncRNA from 1 species
CAGAGAGGAGAUGUGUAUUGUAGAUGUACCUCAUCUUUAGGUAUUUCUGAUUGAGAAUCUUCUUGAGGUUUAACCAUUGAUAUUUCUGGAUCAGUUUGUAGAUCAUGAACUUUCAUAAGUUCAAUAUUCCUCCCACUGCCUCCUUCUUGGAUGAAUUUAUUUUUUAAGAAAGUGGCAUGCCUACCAACAAAUACCUUUUACUC